rnacentral:rRNA from 1 species
UACGUAGGGUGCGAGCGUUAAUCGGAAUUACUGGGCGUAAAGCGUGCGCAGGCGGUUUGCUAAGACAGGUGUGAAAUCUCCGGGCUCAACCUGGGAAUGGCGAUGAAGACUGCAAGGCUAGAAUCUGGCAGAGGGGGGUAGAAUUCCACGUGUAGCAGUGAAAUGCGUAGAGAUGUGGAGGAACACCGAUGGCGAAGGCAGCCCCCUGGGUCAAGAUUGACGCUCAUGCACGAAAGCGUGGGGAGCAAACAGG